rnacentral:rRNA from 1 species
AUGCAAGUCGAGGGGCAGCAUAAUGGAUAGCAAUAUCUAUGGUGGCGACCGGCGCACGGGUGCGUAACGCGUAUGCAACCUACCUUUAACAGGGGGAUAACACUGAGAAAUUGGUACUAAUACCCCAUAAUAUCAUAGAAGGCAUCUUUUAUGGUUGAAAAUUCCGAUGGUUAGAGAUGGGCAUGCGUUGUAUUAGCUAGUUGGUGGGGUAACGGCUCACCAAGGCGACGAUACAUAGGGGGACUGAGAGGUUAACCCCCCACACUGGUACUGAGACACGGACCAGACUCCUACGGGAGGCAGCAGUGAGGAAUAUUGGUCAAUGGACGCAAGUCUGAACCAGCCAUGCCGCGUGCAGGAUGACGGCUCUAUGAGUUGUAAACUGCUUUUGUACGAGGGUAAACGCAGAUACGUGUAUCUGUCUGAAAGUAUCGUACGAAUAAGGAUCGGCUAACUCCGUGCCAGCAGCCGCGGUAAUACGGAGGAUUCAAGCGUUAUCCGGAUUUAUUGGGUUUAAAGGGUGCGUAGGCGGUUUGAUAAGUUAGAGGUGAAAUUUCGGGGCUCAACCCUGAACGUGCCUCUAAUACUGUUGAGCUAGAGAGUAGUUGCGGUAGGCGGAAUGUAUGGUGUAGCGGUGAAAUGCUUAGAGAUCAUACAGAACACCGAUUGCGAAGGCAGCUUACCAAACUAUAUCUGACGUUGAGGCACGAAAGCGUGGGGAGCAAACAGGAUUAGAUACCCUGGUAGUCCACGCAGUAAACGAUGAUAACUCGUUGUCGGCGAUACACAGUCGGUGACUAAGCGAAAGCGAUAAGUUAUCCACCUGGGGAGUACGUCCGCAAGAAUGAAACUCAAAGGAAUUGACGGGGGCCCGCACAAGCGGAGGAACAUGUGGUUUAAUUCGAUGAUACGCGAGGAACCUUACCCGGGCUUGAAAGUUAGCGACGAUUCUUGAAAGA